GACAGAGGCCCCAAGCGUUAGGCGGAAUCACUGGGCUUAAAGCGUGUGUAGGCGGACGCCUAAGUGUCUUGUGAAAUCCCACGGCUCACCCGUGGAACUGCCGGGCAUACUGGGCGUCUUGGGCCAACUAGGGGCAGCCGGAACAAGCGGUGGAGCGGUGAAAUGCGUAGAUAUCGCUUGGAACGCCGAAGGUGAAAACAGGCUGCUGGGGUUGUGCCGACGCUGAGACACGAAAGCCAGGGGAGCAAACGGG
rnacentral:rRNA from 1 species